UGAACUUCUUCGGGGUGCUACCGUCGUUGCGGAUGCUGAGAUUAGACCCAUGGAACCUGAAACAGGUAAUGCUGGCGAAGGGAUAAAUUAAAAUUUCCAC
rfam:Prevotella oulorum F0390 genomic scaffold supercont1.1, whole genome shotgun sequence.